AUCCAGCUGAUGAGUUUCAAAUAGGACGAAACGUGCGUCCUAGAU
rnacentral:hammerhead_ribozyme from 1 species